AUUGAACGCUGGCGGCGUGCUUAACACAUGCAAGUCGAUCGGUAACAGGUGUAGCAAUACAUGCUGACGAGAGGCGGACGGGUGAGUAAUGCUUGGGAAUCUGCCUAUUAGUGGGGGACAACCCGGGGAAACUCGGGCUAAUACCGCAUACGCUCUACGGAGAAAAGCCGGGGACCGCAAGGCCUGGCGCUAAUAGAUGAGCCCAAGUCGGAUUAGCUAGUUGGUAGGGUAACGGCCUACCAAGGCGACAAUCCGUAGCUGGUCUGAGAGGACGACCAGCCACACCGGAACUGAGACACGGUCCGGACUCCUACGGGAGGCAGCAGUGGGGAGUAUUGGACAAUGGGGGCAACCCUGAUCCAGCGACGCCGCGUGGGUGAAGAAGGCCUGCGGGUUGU
rnacentral:rRNA from 1 species